rnacentral:rRNA from 1 species
AACGAACGCUGGCGGCAUGCCUAACACAUGCAAGUCGAACGAGACCUUCGGGUCUAGUGGCGCACGGGUGCGUAACGCGUGGGAACCUGCCCUUAGGUUCGGAAUAACUCCCCGAAAGGGGUGCUAAUACCGGAUAAUGUCUUCGGACCAAAGAUUUAUCGCCUUUGGAUGGGCCCGCGUUGGAUUAGCUAGUUGGUAGGGUAAAAGCCUACCAAGGCGACGAUCCAUAGCUGGUCUGAGAGGAUGAUCCGCCACACUGGGACUGAGACCCGGCCCAGACUCCUACGGGAGGCAGCGGUGGGGAAUAUUGGACAAGGGGCGAAAGCCUGAUCCAGCAAUGCCGCGUGAGUGAUGAAGGCCUUAGGGUUGUAAAGCUCUUUUAGCCGGGAUGAUAAUGACAGUACCGGGAGAAUAAGCUCCGGCUAACUCCGUG